rnacentral:lncRNA from 1 species
CACAGAUGGAUCGUGAGUGGUUGUUGGAUCUUUCCAGAUCACCACACCACAUCACCCAGCCACUCUGCCCAAUGGGAGGGCAGACAGUGUUCCAGUGUAGGAGGAAGGGGUGUAAGGUGCGGGCAGUUUGUGAGGAGGGCACCAACGAGAGCUACUGUGAGAAAGUCUGCAUGGUCAAAAAGUGGAUUACCAAGAACAAAGCAUCAUAAUGUUGUCCAGUGGACCCCAGGGUCAUCUGGAUGAAAUGAAUACUUUUAGGGCAAAAUGGCUGAUACUGCUUCCUUGAUAACCACAUAUAGAAAACUGACAACUGUUUAGAACAAAGCCAAAGAUGAAACCAAAUAUAAAACCACUGAUGAAAACUAAGUGAAAAAUAUAAGCAAAAUAGAAGAAAAAUAAGGUCGUUAUUUCAAGAAAACGAAAGACAGUCAAUGCUGUUCUUUGUAUUCACAUACAAUUUGGUUCACACCAAAAUGUGAGUUGUUCUCUAUGAGAUGUUAUUAAAUGUUCCUAAGAAGACUCGCUUUAGAAAAAAACAGUAUUCCUAAGGCAUGUCCAAUCUGUCUCUUUUCUUAAUUGCUAUAGUUCUACUUUAUUAUUAUAAUGUAUUCAGCAUUAAAAUUCAUUAUUUCCCAAUAAGCUUGACUUUAUCUUAUAAUGAAAUACAACUGUCUUCUUGGUGAUUUUUAUAGGAGAUAUUAUGGAAAUAUUUUAUUAACAGAAGUAAAUAAAGUGUCAUAUCAUUUGGCUUUUCAGCCGUGUUAUAACAUUUGCAUUUUGUUUUUUCUGCCUUUACCCUCCCUGCUUCUAGCUGCAUAAAAUAAUGCAUUUUAAAAAUAAAAAUACAUUAUUUUU